UUUUUAUCCAAUAUCUGUGCUUUACCUGGCAGCUUGUGUUGAAAUGUCACACUUCCAAUAGUACCAUCAUACUCCAUUGUACAAAGAGAACUUCCGUGGAUUUGGAAGCUCUCCAGCCUCAAAACCUGUGCUAGGUUUUUUGUGCAGAUCCAGCUGCAUUUGUUCAUACAUUUUAGCCCCACCCCACAUCCCAAACCCUAAAGCCAAAACAACCCCAUUUCCCCUAACAUUUCUCUGUCUCUGUCAGCAGUUUGGUUGGUAUUACUUUGGUUGGUGUGGCCCUUUUAGCAGUCCUUUAUUUAACUAGAGCUUGUACUAGUUCUUUUUUCUUCUUAUGUGUACCUAAUGAUUUCUACAGAUAAAUAAACAGAUCCCAUUUCUUGUAUUUUUCUCCUUCCCUUUUAGCACCAAAAGCUCAAAAAACAACUGCACCAACAAUACAGGUUUGGUGGCUUGGUGGGUAGUAGCACUGGAAGUGGUAGUAGUGUAUAUGGCUUAAAGCUAAAGGCCCUGUUUUUUGAGAGUUAAGGAAGCUUCAGAUCUGUUGUACAAAGUGGAAGAAAUGGAGAAAUGGGUUUGUACAAAGGCUUUUAUAACUCAUCAUUGUUGUUCUCAUCAUUAUUAGUAGUUGUAGUUCAGGAGUUGUUUUAGCUUUGACUUAAAUAGAAAGGGGGGAGAGAGAAAAAGUGAAAGAAGAAAAGGAAAUAGGAAGAAAAAAGAAGACCCAAGGACCCAAAGAACAAGAAAAAAGCUGCUUGCUUUGAAGUGGGAUUUUGGUGUCUUUUGAGUUUUUAGGAAGCUUUUGGGGUUCUUGAAAAGCUUUUGGGUUUUCAAGAAUUUGCAUUUCCUGAAAGCGUUUUGAUUUGUUGAGGUGAUUUUCAAGAAAGAAAGAGUUUUUUGAGUAGUGGGAGAGGUCAGAAAGAUGUUGGCAUUCGGGAGUCCUUGUAGCAGCAGUGAGAGGACAAGCAUUAGUUCUUGCAAUGCUAUGCUCAGAGAACUUCAGCAACUAUGGGCUGAUAUUGGUGAGACUGAAGCUGAUAAGGACCGUAUGCUGUUGGAACUGGAGAAAGAAUGCCUAGAAGUUUACAGAAGAAAGGUUGAUGAGGCUGCCAACUCCAAGGCCCGUCUUCAUCAGUCUGUUGCUGCCAAAGAAGCAGAAAUAGCCACACUAAUGGCUUCUCUUGGGCAAAUGAAUGUUAGCUCACCGGUUCAGUCAGAGAAGAAACCAUCAUCUUUGAAAGAGCAGCUUGCAUAUGUCACACCACUCGUGGAGGAUCUGAAACUAAGAAAAGAGGAACGCUUCAAGCAAUUUGCUGAUAUUAAUGCACAAAUUGAGAAGAUCACGGGUGAGAUUUUGGGAUAUAGUCACAUUAUCAAUUCAGUGAAUUCGAUGAACCUCGAUGAGCAAGACCUUUCACUAAGAAAGCUUACAGAAUACCAAUCACAUCUUCGUAACCUCCAAAAGGAGAAGUCUGAACGUCUCAAAAAGGUUUUGGAGUUUGUAAACGAAGUCCACUCCUUGUGUGGAGUGCUUGGCUUGGAUUUUGGCAAGACUGUCAGUGAAAUUCAUCCAAGUUUACAGGGAACCAGCCUGGAACAGUCUACAAAUAUCAGCGACACAACAUUAGAAGGCCUAGAACAGACGAUUCUCAGGUUAAAAACAGAGAGAAAAGUCAGACUUCAGAAGCUGAAGGAUGUUGCUGCGUCUCUAUUUGAACUUUGGAAUUUGAUGGAUGCGACAAAGGAAGAGCAGGUUAAGUUCUCGAGGAUAAAUUUCAUUCUUGGUUCAGCAGAAUCAGAUAUUGUGGAGCCGGGGGCUCUUUCACUGGAUGUUAUUCAACAGAUAACUGCAGAAGUUGAGAGACUUAAUACGCUGAAAGCGAGUAGGAUGAAGGAACUGGUCAUGAAGAGGAGGCAAGAAUUAGAGGAUAUUUGCUGUAGGACCCACAUUCAACCUGAUCCAAGCACCGCUGCUGAUAAAGCUAAAGCAAUGAUAGAUUCUGGUCUCCUGGAUCCUUGUGAACUUUUAGCAAACAUUGAAACACAGAUUAACAAAGCAACAGAAGAAGCUUUUAGUCGCAAAGAAAUUAUGGAUAGAAUUGAACGAUGGCUUUGUGCCUGUGAGGAGGAAAACUGGCUUGAAGACUACAAUCGAGAUGAAAACCGGUAUAGUGCUGGAAGAGGUGCUCACAUAAACCUUAAACGUGCAGAACGAGCUCGAGUGAUGGUCAAUAAGAUUCCAGUUAUGGUUGACAAUCUAAUUAGCAAGACGCUAGCCUGGGAGGAUGAGAAAAAGAAGUUGUUUCUUUAUGAUGGAGUGCGGUUGGCUUCAAUACUGGAGGAUUACAAACGAACCAGACAACAGAAGGAAGAGGAGAAAAAGCGAGCUAGGGAUCAAAAGAAACUCCAGGACAUGCUACUUGCAGAGAAAGAAGCCAGAUUUGGCUCCAAGCCAAGCCCAAGAAGAAGCAACAGUUUUAGAAAAGUGAAUGGUUAUCAUGCAAAUGGAAACGGAUCCGUAACUCCUUCACCUCGUAGAAACUCAAUCGGCUGUGCAACUCCAGAGCUUCUGACACCUCGUUCUUAUUCUGGUCGGCAGAAUGGUUAUUUUAAGGAAACAAGAAGGCUUUCCACUGCACCAUUGAACUUCGUCGCAAUACCAAAAGAAGAUACCAUGUCGUUUUCGUCUGUUUGUGGUUCUGAGCCAGAGUCUCCACCUCAAACCUAAAUUGAAACCAUAACUGUGUAUACCCUAAGACGAUCACUGGCAAACCAAUGCAUCAGCUUGUUUAUCAAUCUCAAACCCCAAACUGGGAAGUCAAAGCCUGUAAAAUUUGGCUUUGCUGAGUUGUGCAACUGUGCGUCUCUAUGCUGGAAAGGAGUGGCUGGAAGCUUGUGAAUAUGGAAGAAAAUGUACACUAGUGCAUGAAUCACGUAAACUUUAGCAGAUACUGGGGAAGUGGUGACUAACAUUUCAGCAUUCCGCUUGUAACAUAUUUGAUAGAUCCAACUGUUUGGUAUGGUGAAGCCGUGGUAAUGGUAGAUUGUUGUGGAUAUACUAGGCAAAUUUAGAUCUUCUCAGUUAAAGUAGGAGAUACUAAUAGUCUGUUUUGAGAGCUUUUCUUAUCACAUUUCUAUUUGCAUGUAUAUAUAGUCGGUGUGAAAGUGCAUGAGUUGAUAGAGACCUUGAAUUUUCUUUGUAGUGGAAGAUCUUUUGUACUCCAGUGUCCUUUACGACUUGAAA